GUGUCAGCAGCCGCGGUAACACGUAAGUUGCGAGCGUUGUUCGGAAUUAUUGGGCGUAAAGGGCAUGUAGGCGGUUAUCUAAGCUUGGUGUGAAAGGCAGGGGCUCAACUCCUGGACUGCAUUGAGAACUGGAUAACUAGAGUUACUGAAGUGAAAUCAGAAUUCCAGGUGUAGGGGUGAAAUCUGUAGAUAUCUGGAAGAAUACCAAUGGCGAAGGCAGGUUUCAGGCAGAUAACUGACGCUGAGGUGCGAAGGUGCGGGGAGCAAACAGGAUUAGAUACCCUGGUAGUCCGCACAGUCAACGAUGUACACUGGAUGUCUGGGAAAGAUCCUGGGUGUCGAAGCAAACGCGAUAAGUGUACCGCCUGGGGAGUAUGCCCGCAAGGGUGAA
rnacentral:rRNA from 1 species